rnacentral:rRNA from 1 species
CCUACGGGAGGCAGCAGUAGGGAAUCUUCCGCAAUGGGCGAAAGCCUGACGGAGCAACGCCGCGUGAGUGAUGAAGGUUUUCGGAUCGUAAAGCUCUGUUGCCAAGGAAGAACGUCUCAUAGAGUAACUGCUAUGAGAGUGACGGUACUUGAGAAGAAAGCCCCGGCUAACUACGUGCCAGCAGCCGCGGUAAUACGUAGGGGGCAAGCGUUGUCCGGAAUUAUUGGGCGUAAAGCGCGCGCAGGCGGUUCUUUAAGUCUGGUGUUUAAACCUGGGGCUCAACUUCAGGUCGCACUGGAAACUGGGGGACUUGAGUGCAGAAGAGGAGAGUGGAAUUCCACGUGUAGCGGUGAAAUGCGUAGAUAUGUGGAGGAACACCAGUGGCGAAGGCGACUCUCUGGGCUGUAACUGACGCUGAGGCGCGAAAGCGUGGGGAGCAAACAGGAUUAGAUACCCUGGUAGUCC